rnacentral:rRNA from 1 species
AUUGAACGCUGGCGGCAGGCCUAACACAUGCAAGUCGAACGGCAGCACAGAGGAGCUUGCUCCUUGGGUGGCGAGUGGCGGACGGGUGAGGAAUACGUCGGAAUCUGCCUAUUUGUGGGGGAUAACGUAGGGAAACUUACGCUAAUACCGCAUACGACCUACGGGUGAAAGCGGAGGACCUUCGGGCUUCGCGCAGAUAG